rnacentral:rRNA from 1 species
UACAGGGGGUGCAAACGUUGCUCGGAAUCAUUGGGCGUAAAGAGCUCGUAGGCGGUUCCGUAAGUCAGGUGUGAAAAAUCUGGGCUCAACCCAGUGGAGCACCUGAUACUGCGGUGACUCGAGUCCGGUAGGGGAGUGUGGAAUUCCUGGUGUAGCGGUGAAAUGCGCAGAUAUCAGGAGGAACACCGACGGCGAAGGCAGCACUCUGGGCCGGUACUGACGCUGAGGAGCGAAAGCAUGGGGAGCGAACAGG